rnacentral:misc_RNA from 1 species
UUUCCGUAGGUGAACCUGCGGAAGGAUCAUUAUUGUAUAACAGAGGUGAUAGGCCUGUCGCUGACCCGAAAGGUGGUGCACGCCCGAGUGCCCUCACACACCUCCCUCUCACCCCUAAGUGCACCACCGCUUGGAUCCCCCUGUGGCUUCUUCGGGUGGGAACUGACGUGUUAACACAUUCUUUAUAUGCAGUGUAGACUGUAUUUUUUGUUUUUACGACAACGCAAUCAAUACAACUUUCAACAACGGCUCUCUUCGCUCUCGCAUCGCUGAAGAACG